rnacentral:rRNA from 1 species
CCUACGGGUGGCUGCAGUGAGGAAUAUUGGUCAAUGGGCUUACGCCUGAACCAGCCAAGUCGCGUGAGGGAAGCCUGCCCUAUGGGUUGUAAACCUCUUUUGUCAGGGAGCAACGCCGGCUACGUGUAGCCGGACUGAGAGUACCUGAAGAAAAAGCAUCGGCUAACUCCGUGCCAGCAGCCGCGGUAAUACGGAGGAUGCGAGCGUUAUCCGGAUUUAUUGGGUGUAAGGGGUGCGUAGGCGGAAGGUUAAGUCAGCGGUCAAAUGUCGGUGCUCAACACCGGCCUGCCGUUGAAACUGGGCUUCUUGAGUGAGCGAGAAGUAUGCGGAAUGCGUGGUGUAGCGGUGAAAUGCAUAGAUAUCACGCAGAACUCCGAUUGCGAAGGCAGCAUACCGGCGCUCAACUGACGCUGAGGCACGAAAGCGUGGGGAUCGAACAGGAUUAGAUACCCGGGUAGUC